AUUGAACGCUGGCGGCAGGCCUAACACAUGCAAGUCGAACGAGUGGCGGACGGGUGAGUAACGUCUGGGAAACUGCCUGAUGGAGGGGGAUAACUACUGGAAACGGUAGCUAAUACCGCAUACCAUCGGAUGUGCCCAGAUGGGAUUAGCUAGUAGGUGGGGUAACGGCUCACCUAGGCGACGAUCCCUAGCUGGUCUGAGAGGAUGACCACCCACACGGGAACGGAGACAAGGUCCAGACUCCUACGGGAGGAAGCAGUGGGGAAUAUUGCACAAGGGGCGCAAGCCUGAUGCAGCCAUGCCGGGUGUAUGAAGAAGGCCUUCGGGUUGUAAAGUACUUUCAGCGGGGAGGCGGUACCCGAAGAAGAAGCACCGGCUAACUCCGUGCCAGCAGCCGCGGUAAUUC
rnacentral:rRNA from 1 species